rnacentral:lncRNA from 1 species
GGUGGGCGUGGCUGAGGAAAGAUGGCGGCGCCCGUGGCUCCAUCCGAACCCCAGGCUUCCCGGGCUCCUCAGCCCCCCGUGUGUCUGUUGGUGUUGGGAAUGGCGGGAUCCGGGAAAACUACCUUUGUACAGGUGACGUGCACCGUGCAGAAGCGGUAGUGGCGCCUCAGGCCCGGGAAGAAGGGAGGAAGUUGUCUGGGGAAUCUGCGGGUCCGGGCGCGUGGUUUUCUCGAGCUGUCCUCUGACUCCUUUCCUUCCCGAAGCCUCGAACCCUAGCCUGGGUCACUUGAGGCCGGCUCCUGGGCAACCUUAAUGCACACUUGGUACAGCUGAACUUGUCUUGCUGCGAAUUGGCAGCUUUCCGAAGGCCCGGGCCUAAAGAGUAGGGGAGUGUAACGUCUACUACUCUGGUUUGCGUGAAGAGUUGUGAAAGAAUCACUUCGUUCGACCUACCACGUUCUAAGCUCUGAGAGUACAGCGGCAAUGAGAUCGACAGGGUUCUUGCUUUCACGGAGUGAGUGUUUUAGUGGAGGAGACAGAGGAAGAAAACCCUUGGAGGGGCAGAGUUAGCGAAGCCGUGACGGAGAAUAGGGAGACAGAGGCUCACAGGACACCUGCACAACAAAGGCUGUCCACCGUAUGUAAUCAACCUGGACCCAGCUGUGCAUGAAGUCCCCUUUCCCGCCAAUAUUGAUAUCCGAGACACAGUGAAAUAUAAAGAAGUCAUGAAGCAGUAUCCUUUUCCUCAUCUGCUGCGAGACUGACUCGGUCAUGGCAAACUGCUGUCUUUCAUUGCUUUGGGGGAGUGGCUUUGCCUGUCAAGUUGUGACAAUACAAGUAGAAAACUCACGUCCUUUUAGGUAAUCGUAUUAAGAGGAUAAGAUGAGGGCUGGUGAGAUGGCUCAGCAGGUAAGAACACUGACUGCUCUUCCAAAGGUCCUGAGUUCAAAUCCCAGCAACCACAUGGUGGCUCAAAACCAUCCGUAAAGAGAUCUGACGCCCUCUUCUGGAGUGUCUGAAGACAGCUACAGUGUACAUUAUUUAUAUAAUAAAUAAAUAAAUCUUUAAAAAAAAAAAGUAGGAGAGAUCAGAGAUUUCAGCAAUGCCUCCUGUUUUCUUAACAUCACCUGGACUGUAAGUGCUGUCACUAAAGAUCGGAGACGAUGUGUGGCCAGCUGUUAGUUACUGCCUGGGCCCAGUGAAGUGAUGUUACCGUGGCGGGUGAGGCAGUCAUCAGUAAAGUUACUCACAGGAAUUUAGAUCAGGAAACUUGGACAAAUAAAUUGAGUUGUCUGCUUAUGCAUUGCUUUCUGCAUGACAUCUAGGAAGGUCGCUUGCUUAGUGAGAAGUAGAAUUAAGAGUGUUACAUGCAGCUGUGGCUGGCCUGAAACUCUAGCUGUCUGCCUUCCUCUUCCUCCUGAAUGCUAGGAUUAAAGGUACUGAGCUACCAUGCCAAGCCUGGCUACACAGAUGAUUUUAAUUGCUGAUGCCCACAACCUGUCACUGUUUGACACGUGUGUAUUCACUAUUGUCUUUAUCUUCUGUGGCCAGUCCUAAAACGAGAGAUUAGCAGGAAAACACUGUGGUUGUGUGAUUAUCAAAGACUAGGUUGCCAGCACCUAUUAAUUGAACAUCAAUACUAUAAUGUGUUGGAUGGAUGACAAACAAGUACAAACUGUAUAAUCUCAUAUGCGCAAUUUAAAUCCGUAACUGAAUGUUCAGAUAUGGACUUGGGCCAAACGGAGGUAUAGUGACCUCACUCAACCUCUUUGCUACCAGAUUUGAUCAGGUAUGGCAUCGCUUACAUUUACAGACGCGACACUGUAGACUUCUGACUCUUCACGUGCUCUAGCCUGAUCACAUUGGUAUAGAAGAACUGCAGAGAUGAAGAAAUAUCAAAAAUAAGCAGGUGUUUUGUGUAGACCGGGAAAUAGCCCACGAGUGAGGUGGGAUGGUUCACAUGUUAUGUUUAUAAGAAAACAAAAGUCCAAAAGACCUGAAUUCUUUCUCUGGCUUACUAUCAGCUUAUGGCGUCACACUGAGCCUGGAGAUGAGGACACAGGGCACUGUGGUCAGGUACAGCAAGGAGUGAUGGCACGCUGAUGCUUUCUCUCUCUCUCUUUUUUUUUUUUUUUUUUUGGUUUUUCGAGACAGGGUUUCUCUGUAUAGCCCUGGCUGUCUUGGAACUCAUUUUGUAGACCAGGCUGGCCUCGAAGUCAGAAAUCUGCCUGCCUCUGUCUCUGCUUCCCAAGUGCUGGGAUUAAAGGCGUGCACCACCACGCCCGGCUAUGCUUUUUCUCUUAACAAGUAUUUGUCAUCCCUUAUGUUUACUCGAUCACUUACUCCCAUGGGAGGGAGUUAUACUCAUAAUAAUCUUGAUUCUGCCACUUGAGACAUUAACAUUUGACCAAAGCCAGGUCGAGUGUGCAAGGGGACCACACUGUAUCAUUGACAGGUUGGCUCUGGGCUCUGGGCCAUCCAGGUCGCAGUGCUGUGGCUGUGGCUCUGCUUCCUUGCAUCAAGGAGUCCAUUACUUGGUGUCCCAGGUUGUGCUUUGAGAUGGUGCCUAUAAUACAAGCCACCCUGGUAGGAGCCUCCAGUGUUGUGUUGUAAGUAGAUCCUGUUAUAAGUGACACCUUUUUCUUCUAGGUGAUGAAAUUUAUUGAGAAGGCCCAGAACACAUUCAGAUAUGUCUUGAUUGACACACCUGGACAGAUUGAAGUAUUUACCUGGUCAGCUUCAGGGACAAUCAUCACUGAGGCCCUGGCUUCCUCAUUUCCAACAGUAGUCAUCUAUGUCAUGGAUACAUCACGGAGCACUAACCCAGUGACCUUCAUGUCCAAUAUGCUUUACGCAUGCAGGUAACUAAACACUGGUGGGCGUGGGGUUGCCAGGUGGGCAGCUUCUUUCUCUUUCACCGGUUUAUUUCUUUCUUUCUUAAUUUAUUUACAUUUAUUUAUUUAUUUAUGACAGAGUUUCUCUUUGGAGCUCUGGCUGUUCUGGAACUCUCUUUAUGGACCAUACUGGCCUCGAACACAUAGAGAUCCAACUGUCUCUGUCUCCUGAGUGCUAGGAUAAAAGGCAUGAACCAUCACUGCCUGGCUUCUUUCUUAUUUGCUUAUUUAUUUAUUUUAAAAGAUUUAUUUAUUUUUAUGUAUAUGAGUACACUGCAUCUGUCUUCAGACACACCAGAAGAGGGCAUCAGACCCAAUUACAGAUGGUUGUGAGCCACCAUGUGGUUGCUGGGAAUUGAACUCAGGACCUUUGGAAGAGUAGUCAGUGCUCUUAUCUACUGAGCCAUUUCUCCAGCCCCUUUUUUAUUUUUUUUAAAAGACGUUUAUUAUUUAUUUGUGUGUAUGUGAGCCUGCAUGAGUAUAUGUGUAUCACGUGUAUGCAGGAACUUGUGGGGGCUACAAGAGGGCGUCAGAUUUCUUUGAAUUGGAGUUACAGGUGGUUGUGAGCCACCACGUUUGUGCUGGCAGCUGAGCCUGGGUUCCCUGUAAAAAUAGUAAGUGCUCUUAACUGCUGAGCCAUCUGUCCCUCUAGCUUCAUUGUAUCUGACUGUAUCCCUCUGUUGGUUUUUGUCCUAGAUAUAGUGCCCUGGGUUUGUGAUCAUUUGCAUUUACUAUUCAGUUGAUUGGUGUGAGUUAGGGGAAGGCUAAUAAAGGGAGACAUGUACGAUUGGCAUUCUGUCUCAGCAUCUUCCUCCCUCACCUGUCAGAGAAAGAGGUGGGAGUUACUCGCAGCUGGGAGAGACCCAAGUCUGGAUAGAACAGAGUCCUCUGGUGUGCAGGGUGUUUAGGUUUUGUAUAAGUAGCAAAAGGUGUUACAUUAAGAGACACAAGGAAUAAAAAGUUUUAUCCAAGCCAGGUAUGGUGUUGCGCUCAUAAUCAAGUCAGGAGAUGAAGGGGGCAAAUUCCAGGCCAGUGUGGACUAGGGAGUACGACCUGCCAUAGCAUUAAGAACAAUAAUAGCAGAAAGAUCUUAGCAUCCAGACGUGGAUUAUUUUAUCCCAAAUGUUGCAUUGGGAGAGCAAAGAUGCUUCGUUGGGUGACGUUGAAGGAGAGCGCUAAGGAAAUUGACAGAGGUUAAUUUGGGGAACAUAUGAUAGGUCUUGGAAUAAACAUUAUAUUGGAUACAAGAAGUCCUGAUCCACCUAGAGAUUUCAUGAAAGAGAGCAUUGUUCCACAGUCAUAUUAUCCUGAGUGGUCACUUUAUAGUGUCUGAAUAGCCCAGUGUCAGAGGACUGGGAACCUAGCUCAGCAGUAAGAGAGUGUGCCGCACGUUCAAGGCCUGGGUCAGCCAGCAGGACUGCAGACACUAAAUCAAUAAAAGGGAAGGGAAGAUGAACUUUGAAAACAACUCCUGAUGCAUACUCUAAGUAUAUAUAAUUUUCUCUUGUCUCUUUACCUCAGUAAAUGUGAGAAGUUUUCAACCUGUAGGAGAACAUUUUUGGAGACUGGGGCAGGAGAAUUGCUAUAAAUUCCAGGACCAGCCUGGUCUGCAUACUAUUAUGUUCUGUGCUGGUGUAGGCUACAAAGUGCUUUAUGUGUAAAUUAUAUAUAUUUACAUGGCGUUUGUGUGGAUUAAAGGAGAUACUAUAUGCACAUAUAGAAGUGGCUAAAGAGUAACCAUCCAAUAACGAGUACUCAAUAAGUGCUCAUUCCCUCCAUUUGGGU